rnacentral:rRNA from 1 species
CCUACGGGCGGCUGCAGUGGGGAAUUUUGGACAAUGGGCGCAAGCCUGAUCCAGCCAUGCCGCGUGAGUGAAGAAGGCCUUCGGGUUGUAAAGCUCUUUCGGCCGGGAAGAAAUCGGGGUGGCUAAUAUCUGCUCUGGAUGACGGUACCGGAAUAAGAAGCACCGGCUAACUACGUGCCAGCAGCCGCGGUAAUACGUAGGGUGCGAGCGUUAAUCGGAAUUACUGGGCGUAAAGCGUGCGCAGGCGGUUUUUUAAGAUAGGCGUGAAAUCCCCGGGCUCAACCUGGGAACUGCGCUUAUGACUGGAAGACUAGAGUACGGCAGAGGGGGGUGGAAUUCCACGUGUAGCAGUGAAAUGCGUAGAGAUGUGGAGGAACACCGAUGGCGAAGGCAGCCCCCUGGGCCGAUACUGACGCUCAUGCACGAAAGCGUGGGGAGCAAACAGGAUUAGAUACCCCAGUAGUC